UUCCCCCACCUCUCUCCCGGGAGCCAUGGGGCCACUCCUGGCUCCAGGGAGAGCAGAUAGGGGAAGGGAGGGGGGCAUGACCCUGAAAAGUUUGGGGACCACUGACCUAGGGGCCUCAGUCAGAGACCAGGACACCGUUGUGCUAGGUGCUGUACAAACAGAACACAAAAACCAUCUCUGCUCCAAGGGGCUUUUUGAUCCAGAUCUCAUUGACUGAGAAGGCUUUGGCCCCUCCCUCAAUAACAUUAACACCCAGCUGGACCUCUCUGGAGUAAAGUUAUCCUCCAUUUUAAAAAUUGGGAAACUGAGGCAAAGAUGUGGUCACUCAGUAAGGCUGAUGGUCCUGAGUUUUGUUUUCCCUGGCGUAAACCCUGAGUAGCUCCAUUGACCUCAGUGGAGUUGCGCUGUUGUAAAACAGUUGUGGUAGGAAAGUCAGGGCCUGUUGUGAUGAUGGCGUUAGGAUCAGGCUUCAGUGGAGUUAAUCCAGAGUGACUACGCAGAAUCGGACCCCAAGAAUUUAAGAUCUUCAGAUCUAGCCACCUCCCAGUUAGAUUUGGUUACAGCUUGGCUCAGAAUUUUGCUAACUCUCUUCUCCACCACUUUUCCAGUUCAGUAUAUUUCUCUCUCUGCACCUCAGCGUGGUGGUGUUUUUAAACUGCCGCUGUGAACUACUCCACCAGCUGCAAAGCAACAAUGAACCAGACCCUAGUUCUUUGCCUUACCGUCCCCAGCCCUAAUGGCUACAAAACGUCCCCUCCAGCUGUGCUCUACGAUACACGGUACAGCAAACCCAGGGAGCAUCCUUACCUGGAUAGAGUUCGGCUCCGGCAGCUGCUGCAACAGAGAGGAAGCGUGUUUUCUGUUUGACGGCUAAGCUCCAAGUUACAACCGCUCUGACGAUGCCUGGCUGUGUGGUUACUCAUGGUCUUCUCUUCACAAAUCAGCUGUGAGAAGAUCCCAAAUGGAUUCCAAGCAGCAAUCUACUGUGGAAUGAGAGGUGCUGCGUUAGACUUGCAAGAACGACGUGAUUUCAACACCACCUUUUUCUUCCUGCUUGUGGAUUCACCAUCAGGCAAAAACUUUGCCGCUGGAUUUGCCCCUGGGCACUGGGUGCAAGAAACUUCCUGGAUCUGGAUUCACCACUAGGGAUAAGAUACCCGUAAGAAACUGGAGAAGCCAUGGAUUUUGUCCGAACACGAUGCUGCUAUCUGUGUCAGUCAGUGGGUGAUGGUGACGUGCCCUGGAGUCCCCUCCAACAUUCACUGAAGAGGUGCACUGAUGUGAGGUGGACACAUACCUGGUGGAAAGACCAAAUAUGGCAAGGAGAGGGGAAUUCAGUCUUCACGGUCCGGUCAAUCCCCUUUUCUGAGAAGGAUGCCCAUUAGUGGGGAUAGUGGUGUUUGACUGCAGACACCUUAUCUACUGAGAACUAACUCAAGGUCUUUCAACUUCAUUUCAGCUAGCACACCCCACCACCAUCCAUCUUUGGUCAUCGCUUCCCCAUGUUGGAGUCUAGCACAAAAUUACCUCUGCGCUUGGCACCUUUGGAUGACAGGCGAGUACCAUUGCUUCCUCGCUGCCUAAGACUGAUCUCUCAGGAACAGGCUUCAAGCGUGUUGGUAGGGCAAGAUGGAGGAAGUGCUGCAACUUUCCAUGAUGCCCCAGUUGUGCUGGUUAGUAGAGAUUGGACUGACUCCUUCAGGGAUGCCUGUCCAGCACCUCUCACUACCACUGAGUAAGUUCCUCUUCCGUAAGUCCCCAAUGAUUGCAUGCACCCUGCCACGAUGGUCUCUCCACUAACACAGAAUCCCUUUCUUAGAUAGGAAAGGGCAGAGACAGGUGGGUCUAGCAACUCCAGCCAAAUUAAGCCCAGGGGGCUCACCUAGGACUCCUCAGUAGUGGGAGGAAGAUGUUAACGGAAAAGAGAGAGGGGAAUAAGAAACAGUGUGCUUUAACCAUGAGAUCAACGGUAACAAAACAACCUACCUUGCACUGAGAAACACAAGAUGUACAGGCCUCUAACCUGUCCCCAUUUUUUUGACCUUUGGUGCAUCCUAGUCCUUGCCGCUGUUUCACAUUUAUUGUUUGUUAUUAUUGACAUCAUAAAUGCGGAACCUGAAGCCACAUUCUUCAAGAGGGCAUGGGGGUGCUGAUUUUUCAAAUAAUUCUGCUGGGAGUUGCAGACUUGAGCCUGAAGUCCUCUCUAAACCCAUCAGGACAAGUACAGAACGGGUCGUGGCACUGCAAGUGUCCUCCAGACUGCCCUGCCAGCAUCUUAACCUUGGUUAUGGAAGCUCCCAGCCUCAGGGGGGGAAGAGGGAGAGAGGAGGGAAGAUCAGCCUUUGGCUCAGUUCAGUCCCGGAGUUCUCUGCUGAGACUGUCAAGGAGUCUGCUAAUUAGUACGAAGUGGGGUGGUGUUUUCGGGUGACAUGUUCCAGCUGUACACAGAGAACUGGGCUGGCAGCUCCAAGCUCGGUCAGCGUAGCCCGUGAGAGGCUGAUGCCUUUGUUACGGCUGGACUCAGUCAAAGCUGCAUCCGUCAGGGUAGAGGCUCUAUAUCCUACCCUGAUCCCCCAAGCCACCCACUUACCCAGCCCUCAUUUCAAGCGUCCUGUGCUGCUAUUUUUCUCAUGUCCCUGAUUUUGGGGUCAUUGCCCACUGCUGGAGCUUGGCCGGGAGACAUGAUGCCACAUGUUCUACCAACCUGGGAAACUACUGUAGGCACGGGAUAGCCAAGAGAUUCUCCCUGCAAGUGGUGGGACAAAUGCAGCUUUCAAGAGGAGCUUUGAAAUUUUCAGUCUCAUGGCAGCUCUGGCUUAAAACCAGAGGCAGCUGGAGGAAGAGUAACAGGGCAGUUAACAACUAGAACAUUUGUGAAAAGAAUUACAUCCAAAAGUGGAGGAAAUAGUAAGUAAUAAGGCCCAGAGGCCGCCAUUCAGGUCUUCAAUCAUCUCCUCCAGCGAGGCUAACAGCAAAAGCAGCAGGAAGCGUUCCACUCUGCUGAAAACAUGAAACUGGAGGAAGAAGUAACACAGAACAACAGAAGCUGCGAAAGGGAUUUUAGAUCCACUGUUCUGAGCCCAGCACCUGGCGCAUGAAACUUAAUCUAGAGAAAUGCAGGAAGCACUAAGGGGCUUUAAAGAGGGUCAUGGGAGAAGAGUGGAAGCUUCCUUAAAAGACUGUCUAAAGCAAUAAAACCCAGAAAUAAAGAAUGGGAACAGUGGAGGGGAAAGCAGGUCUGGAAGUUAUUUGGGAAUUAUUUACCUUUCUGCUCAGACGUUUAAAAUACUUUGAAAGCUCAGGCACCUCAUCACUGAAAGAUCGUACCUUGGCAGAAGAAAGAGGACUGGAUGGGACAGGCAGCCUUUUACCUUCAUGCGGAUUCCAGCACAAGGAUCAAAAGUGGCCAUCAGAUGAAAAUCAGGGCAGCAUUCUCAGAUCUGGUCCUACUAGCCAGGUGUUUACACCACCACAGAAACGUAGUGGAGUGAGAGGGGCUAGUGCUAAAGCAUUUCAUUGAGACUGCACUUCACUCAUGCCUAAUGGGUGCUUCCUUUAGAAAAAGGGAGACACUGCCAGUGGGGGAGACAUUUAUUUAGGCGUCCAAGCAUGGUCAUUCCCCAGACUUGAAGAUGCCCUAAAUGUUGAUGUGAUUAAGAUGGACAAAUACAGUAGUUGGUGGCAUGUGUGACCAAGACAGUUUUGAGUAUAUUCCAUCUUUACAGUGCCAGAACAGCAAAAGAACUGAAUAGCUUUCUCAAUGGUCAUCACUUGAAACACAUCCCACCCACUCUGUUGGAGUAACCCUAGCCAGAUCUCUCAUAUCUUAAUCGCCUCAAGAAAAUUGCCUUCAGGUGAGGUCAUGUAACUACCUGAUAAAUAAAAUUGAGCAGCAGUCUGUGGGGAGAAAACGCUCAAACUCUCCAGUCAUCUGCUUUAGCCCUGUUACAGCAUACGGUGCUCCAGUCUGGCUCCAUUCAUCCCACGUCAAGUUGGUGACACACAACUAUAUUCAAUCGUGUGCAUCAUAACUGGCGCACUUUGGCCCACACCGGUAUCAUGGUUCCUCACAUUAAGCAACAUCGCUCCUCCCCACAUCUGGCAUGAGGAUGCUACAGCCAGAAUGGUUGAGAAGAUCAGAGGAAACCCAAGUUGCUUUGACCACCCAAGAGCGCACUUGUCAGCGAGGUACCCUUCUGAACAGGCUGGGGUCUAUAUACAGCUAGCCUUCACACUAGAGGUUCAUGAAAGGAUGCCACAUGUGGCCGUGGCCAAAGAGGGAUAAUGUCACACAUCACUGACAACUGCCCUGACAAGAUUUGAGGGUGCUCUGAGGGCUCAGCACUUUACUGACGAGGUGGUGGCAAAUAAGGCAGGUUCCACAUCCGAUAAGAAGUGGGGGAGAGGGAAAGAAAGGGUCUCUUGGGCUACUACUGCAGUAUCUUGUGGCAAAGUAAUUUUAAACUUAACCCCUUUGUGACUGGCUCUGCCUUGUAGAACAUAGCAGUUCUUUCAAGUGCCACCAUGCCAGCAGGAUUUCUCAGCGAUCUGGAGCAGUAACUGUAAGUGGUAUCACCCUGCAGAGCUUGUUGCCUGCAAGGUAACCAGUAGCCCAAACAAUACCAGGCAAUGAAUGAGUUUUUAAAAAAGCCUUUCACCUUGAAGGCUGAUACCAAUACGGAAUUGAUCUUAUCCUCAGAGGAAAGAGUUGGGAGUGGAGGCUGAGGCAAUGCAUGGGAGGAAAUGAGCUCAUGCUCUCAUUGGGGUAGUUUUCACCUGGGAGAAAGCCAUUCAGCCAAAGAAAUACCCUUUUUUGCCCUGUAGAAAUUCUCAGGUUAGAACUGAGCUGGACUGUACACAAAGAGAAAGGGCUCCCUUUUCUGAGCUCCAGCAACCAGCCAGGAAUUGUUUUUACCAUUAGCAGUGAGGUGUAGUCAGUGUAUUGUAUAUAAGCUCUUUGGGGCUGUCUUUUCUUUCUGGGUUUGUACAUGACCUAGCACCGUGGUGGCAUGGUCCAGGCCUGGAAGUUGUAGGUGCUGCCUUAGUAUAAAUAAAACCAGGAUAACUAAUAGAUCUUAGAGUUCUGCCCUGCAUAGCGCUCCAUGCACUGUAUGAAGGAAGGUGGUAAGGGUCACUUAACAGAUAGGCAAACUGAUGUGCAGGGAGGUGAAGUUACUUGCCCAAGGCUACACAGUAGAUCGAUGGCAAAGCAGGUACCAGACCCCGAAGUCCAAUUCUCAGUCUAGUCCUCUACCCCUAGAAUUAUUCUGCCUCUUGAUAUACAUGAGCCCUCUAACCGGUGGAAGUCCAGUUGGUGAAUCUUUGCAGCAGCAGCCUUGCAAGAUGUCUUCUAUUCACCGGUUUCAGCGAAAAGUCUCUCAACAGCUUAUCAGAGCAUUUUGAUUCUCACACUAAGUGCAAACAGGAAGCCCAGCAACAGACAUGUGAAGGUUAGUAUUUUCUAGUGCAGGGGUCUGCAGCCUUUCAGAAGCGCUGUGCCGAGUCUUCAUUUAUUCACUCUAAUUUAAGG